rnacentral:rRNA from 1 species
CCUACGUGAGGCUGCAGUGGGGAAUAUUGGACAAUGGGCGAAAGCCUGAUCCAGCCAUGCCGUGUGUGUGAAGAAGGCCUUCGGGUUGUAAAGCACUUUCAGUGGGGAAGAAAGCCUUGGGGCUAAUACCCUCGAGGAAGGACAUCACCCACAGAAGAAGCACCGGCUAACUCCGUGCCAGCAGCCGCGGUAAUACGGAGGGUGCGAGCGUUAAUCGGAAUUACUGGGCGUAAAGCGCGCGUAGGCGGUCUGAUAAGCCGGUUGUGAAAGCCCCGGGCUCAACCUGGGAACGGCAUCCGGAACUGUCAGGCUAGAGUGCAGGAGAGGCAGGUAGAAUUCCCGGUGUAGCGGUGAAAUGCGUAGAGAUCGGGAGGAAUACCAGUGGCGAAGGCGGCCUUCUGGACUGACACUGACGCUGAGGUGCGAAAGCGUGGGUAGCAAACAGGAUUAGAUACCCCGGUAAUC